rnacentral:rRNA from 1 species
UACGUAGGGGGCGAGCGUUGUCCGGAAUCAUUGGGCGUAAAGCGCGUGUAGGCGGUUCGGUAAGUCUGCUGUGAAAGUCCAGGGCUCAACCCUGGGAUGCCGGUGGAAACUGUCGAGCUCGAGCACGGUAGAGGCAGAUGGAAUUCCCGGUGUAGCGGUGGAAUGCGUAGAGAUCGGGAAGAACAUCAGUGGCGAAGGCGGUCUGCUGGGCCGUUGCUGACGCUGAGGCGCGACAGCGUGGGGAGCAAACAGG